rnacentral:rRNA from 1 species
AUUGGAAAAUGACGCCAUAGAGGGUGAUAGCCCCGUGAAGAAACCAAAUCCAUCUAUUUCUCUGUUCUCCAAAGAGUCGAGUUGUUUGGGAAUGCAGCUCUAAGUGGGUGGUAAAUUCCAUCUAAAGCUAAAUAUUGGCGAGAGACCGAUAGCGAACAAGUACAGUGAUGGAAAGAUGAAAAGCACUUUGAAAAGAGAGUGAAAAAGUACGUGAAAUUGUUGAAAGGGAAGGGCUUGCAAGCAGACACAACCUCGUGUUGGGCCAGCAUCGGGGCGAGGGGAAGUAAAACAGUCAAGAAAUAUAACUCCCUCCGGGGAGCAUUACAGUCUUUGUCCUACCACUUCCAUCUCAUCCCGAGGCCUGCGAUUCUUCAAGGAUGCUGGCGUAAUGGUUGCAAGUCGCCCGUCU